rnacentral:rRNA from 1 species
GAUGAACGCUGGCGGCGUGCCUAAUACAUGCAAGUAGAACGCUGAAGGAGGAGCUUGCUCUUCUGGAAGAGUUGCGAACGGGUGAGUAACGCGUAGGUAACCUGCCUCUUAGCGGGGGAUAACUAUUGGAAACGAUAGCUAAUACCGCAUAAAAGUCGACAUUGCAUGAUGUUGACUUGAAAGGUGCAAAUGCAUCACUAAGAGAUGGACCUGCGUUGUAUUAGCUAGUUGGUGAGGUAACGGCUCACCAAGGCGACGAUACAUAGCCGACCUGAGAGGGUGAUCGGCCACACUGGGACUGAGACACGGCCCAGACUCCUACGGGAGGCAGCAGUAGGGAAUCUUCGGCAAUGGGGGCAACCCUGACCGAGCAACGCCGCGUGAGUGAAGAAGGUUUUCGGAUCGUAAAGCUCUGUUGUAAGAGAAGAACGAGUGUGAGAGUGGAAAGUUCACGCUG